rnacentral:rRNA from 1 species
UGGAUUCCUGGUUGACUGAGUGGCGAACGGGUGAGUAACGCGUGAGUAACCUGCCCUAGAGUGGGGGACAACAGUUGGAAACGACUGCUAAUACCGCAUGAUACAUUUGGGUGGCAUCAUCUGAAUGUCAAAGAUUUAUCGCUGAAAGAUGGCCUCGCGUCUGAUUAGCUAGUUGGUGAGGUAACGGCCCACCAAGGCGACGAUCAGUAGCCGGCCUGAGAGGGUGAACGGCCACAUUGGGACUGAGACACGGCCCAAACUCC